rnacentral:rRNA from 1 species
GACGAACGCUGGCGGCGUGCCUAAUACAUGCAAGUCGAACGCACAGUUUAUACCGUAGCUUGCUACACCAUAGACUGUGAGUUGCGAACGGGUGAGUAACGCGUAGGUAACCUGCCUGGUAGCGGGGGAUAACUAUUGGAAACGAUAGCUAAUACCGCAUAAUAUUAAUUAUUGCAUGAUAAUUAAUUGAAAGGUGCAAUUGCACCACUACCAGAUGGACCUGCGUUGUAUUAGCUAGUAGGUGAGGUAACGGCUCACCUAGGCGACGAUACAUAGCCGAACUGAGAGGGUGAUCGGCCACACUGGGACUGAGACACGGCCCAGACUCCUACGGGAGGCAGCAGUAGGGAAUCUUCGGCAAUGGACGAAAGUCUGACCGAGCAACGCCGCGUGAGUGAAGAAGGUUUUCGGAUCGUAAAGAUCUGUUGUAAGAGAAGAACGGGUGUGAGAGUGGAAAGUUCACACUGUGACGGUAUCUUACCAGAAAGGGACGGCUAACUACGUG